UACAGAGGUCUCAAGCGUUGUUCGGAUUCAUUGGGCGUAAAGGGUGCGUAGGCGGCGCGGUAAGUCGGGUGUGAAAUCUCGGGCUUAACUCCGAAACUGCAUUCGAUACUGCCGUGCUUGAGGACUGGAGAGGAGACUGGAAUUUACGGUGUAGCGGUGAAAUGCGUAGAUAUCGUAAGGAAGACCAGUGGCGAAGGCGGCUCACUGGACCAUAACUGACGCUGAUGCACGAAAGCUAGGGGAGCAAACAGG
rnacentral:rRNA from 1 species